AUACGGGGUUGUGGGAUCUCUCUUUCACGGUCUGCCGGCCGUGAGACGAGUCAGAAACCGUUGAUGCAGGCGAAGGACAUGCGAAAGGUCCGGCGUAGAGGGUAAGACCCCCGUAGUCGAAACGUCAGCGGCUCGUUUGAGAGACACCCAAGUAGCACGGGGCCCGAGAAAUCCCGUGUGAAUCUGGCGGGACCACCCGCUAAGCCUAAAUAUUCCCUGGUGACCGAUAGCGGAUAGUACCGUGAGGGAAUGGUGAAAAGUACCGCGGGAGCGGAGUGAAAUAGUACCUGAAACCGUGUGCCUACAAGCCGUGGGAGCGUCGGAUGGAAGCUUGCUUCCAUCUCGU
rnacentral:ncRNA from 1 species